ACGGGAGGCAGCAGUGGGGGAUAUUGCACAAUGGGGGAAACCCUGAUGCAGCGACGCCGCGUGAGUGAAGAAGUAUUUCGGUAUGUAAAGCUCUAUCAGCAGGGAAGAAAAUGACGGUACCUGACUAAGAAGCUCCGGCUAAAUACGUGCCAGCAGCCGCGGUAAUACGUAUGGAGCAAGCGUUAUCCGGAUUUACUGGGUGUAAAGGGAGCGUAGACGGCGAGGCAAGUCUGAUGUGAAAGCCAUGGGCUCAACCCAUGAACUGCAUUGGAAACUGUUUUGCUUGAGUGUCGGAGAGGUAAGCGGAAUUCCUAGUGUAGCGGUGAAAUGCGUAGAUAUUAGGAGGAACACCAGUGGCGAAGGCGGAUUGCUGGACGACAACUGACGGUGAGGCGCGAAAGCGUGGGGAGCAAACAGGAUUAGAUACCCUGGUA
rnacentral:rRNA from 1 species